GCUUAACACAUGCAAGUCGCGGGGCAGCAUGAAGGAUGCUUGCAUCCUUUGAUGGCGACCGGCGCACGGGUGAGUAACGCGUAUCCAACCUGCCUGUUACCACGGCACAGCCCGUCGAAAGGCGGAUUAAUGCCGUAUGUGGUCCUUUGCGGGCAUCUAAUUAGGACUAAAGGUUCAGCGGUAACGGAUGGGGAUGCGUCCGAUUAGCUAGACGGCGGGGUAACGGCCCACCGUGGCGACGAUCGGUAGGGGUUCUGAGAGGAAGGUCCCCCACACUGGAACUGAGACACGGUCCAGACUCCUACGGGAGGCAGCAGUGAGGAAUAUUGGUCAAUGGGCGUAAGCCUGAACCAGCCAAGUAGCGUGAGGGAAGACUGCCCUAUGGGUUGUAAACCUCUUUUGUGCGGGGAUAAAGUGUGGGACGUGUCCCAUAUUGCAGGUACCGCACGAAUAAGGACCGGCUAAUUCCGUGCCAGCAGCCGCGGUAAUACGGAAGGUCCGGGCGUUAUCCGGAUUUAUUGGGUUUAAAGGGAGCGCAGGCCGUCCUUUAAGCGUGCUGUGAAAUGCCGCGGCUCAACCGUGGCACUGCAGCGCGAACUGGAGGACUUGAGUACGCACGAGGUAGGCGGAAUUCGUGGUGUAGCGGUGAAAUGCUUAGAUAUCACGAAGAACUCCGAUUGCGAAGGCAGCUUACCGGAGCGCAACUGACGCUGAGGCUCGAAAGCGCGGGUAUCGAACAGGAUUAGAUACCCUGGUAGUCCGCGCGGUAAACGAUGGAUGCCCGCCGUUGGGGUUUUGAUUUCAGCGGCCAAGCGAAAGCGUUAAGUAUUCCACCUGGGGAGUACGCCGG
rnacentral:rRNA from 1 species